rnacentral:misc_RNA from 1 species
UACAGAGGGUGCAAGCGUUAAUCGGAUUUACUGGGCGUAAAGCGUGUGUAGGUGGCUGCGUAAGUCGGUUGUGAAAUCCCUGGGCUCAACCUAGGAAUUGCAUCCGAUACUGCGGAGCUAGAGUUCGGUAGAGGACGGCGGAAUUCUCGGUGUAGCGGUGAAAUGCGUAGAUAUCGAGAGGAACAUCGAUGGCGAAGGCAACCGUCUGGGCCUGAACUGACACUGUGACACGAAAGCGUGGGUAGCAAACAGG